GACGAACGCUGGCGGCGUGCUUAACACAUGCAAGUCGAACGGAAAGGCCCUGCUUGCAGGGUACUCGAGUGGCGAACGGGUGAGUAACACGUGGGUGAUCUGCCCUGCACUUCGGGAUAAGCCUGGGCAACUGGGUCUCAUACCGGAUAGGCGCCAUUUUUAGUGUGAUGGUUGGAACGUUUUUUCGGUGUAGGAUGAGCUCGCGGCCUAUCAGCUUGUUGGUGGGGUAAUGGCCUACCAAGGCGGCGACCCGUAGCCGGCCUGAGAGGGUGGUCGGCCACACUGGGACUGGGACCAGGCCCAGACUCCUACGGGAGGCAGCAGUGGGGAAUAUUGGACAAUGGGCGAGAGCCUGAUCCAGCAAUGCCGCGUGAGUGAUGAAGGCCUUAGGGUUGUAAAGCUCUUUUACCCGGGAUGAUAAUGACAGUACCGGGAGAAUAAGCUCCGGCUAACUCCGUG
rnacentral:rRNA from 1 species